AUGAACGCUAGCUACAGGCUUAACACAUGCAAGUCGAGGGGCAGCAUGGACCCAGUUUUGCUGGGUUUGAUGGCGACCGGCGCACGGGUGAGUAACGCGUAUCCAACCUGCCCUUUACUCCGGGAUAGUCUCCUGAAAGGGAGUUUAAUACCGGAUGUGUUUGUCUUUCCGCAUGGGAGCGACAAAUAAAGAUUGAUUGGUAAAGGAUGGGGAUGCGUCCCAUUAGCUUGUUGGCGGGGUAACGGCCCACCAAGGCGACGAUGGGUAGGGGUUCUGAGAGGAAGGUCCCCCACAUUGGAACUGAGACACGGUCCAAACUCCUACGGGAGGCAGCAGUGAGGAAUAUUGGUCAAUGGGCGGGAGCCUGAACCAGCCAAGUAGCGUGAAGGAUGACGGCCCUACGGGUUGUAAACUUCUUUUAUAAGGGAAUAAAGUUCGCCACGUGUGGUGUUUUGUAUGUACCUUAUGAAUAAGCAUCGGCUAAUUCCGUGCCAGCAGCCGCGGUAAUACGGAAGAUGCGAGCGUUAUCCGGAUUUAUUGGGUUUAAAGGGAGCGUAGGCGGGCUUUUAAGUCAGCGGUCAAAUGCCACGGCUCAACCGUGGCCAGCCGUUGAAACUGCAAGCCUUGAGUCUGCACAGGGCACAUGGAAUUCGUGGUGUAGCGGUGAAAUGCUUAGAUAUCACGAAGAACUCCGAUCGCGAAGGCAUUGUGCCGGGGCAGCACUGACGCUGAGGCUCGAAAGUGCGGGUAUCAAACAGGAUUAGAUACCCUGGUAGUCCGCACGGUAAACGAUGAAUGCUCGCUAUGGGCGAUACAAUGUCCGUGGCCAAGCGAAAGCGUUAAGCAUUCCACCUGGGGAGUACGCCGGCAACGGUGAAACUCAAAGGAAUUGACGGGGGCCCGCACAAGCGGUGGAGCAUGUGGUUUAAUUCGAAGCAACGCGAAGAACCUUACCAGGUCUUGACAUCGAUCUAAAAGGGAUGGAGACAUCCUCAUAGCUAUAGAGAAGACAGGUGGUGCAUGGUUGUCGUCAGCUCGUGCCGUGAGGUGUCGGCUUAAGUGCCAUAACGAGCGCAACCCUUCUCCCCAGUUGCCAUCGGGUAAUGCCGGGCCCUCUGGGGACACUGCCAUCGUAAGAUGCGAGGAAGGUGGGGAUGACGUCAAAUCAGCACGGCCCUUACGUCCGGGGCUACACACGUGUUACAAUGGGGGGUACAGAGGGCCGCUGUCCGGUGACGGUCGGCCAAUCCCUAAAACUCCUCUCAGUUCGGACUGGAGUCUGCAACCCGACUCCACGAAGCUGGAUUCGCUAGUAAUCGCGCAUCAGCCAUGGCGCGGUGAAUACGUUCCCGGGCCUUGUACACACCGCCCGUCAAGCCAUGAAAGCCGGGGGUGCCUGAAGUCCGUGACCGCGAGGGUCGGCCUAGGGUAAAACUGGUGAUUGGGGCU
rnacentral:rRNA from 1 species